rnacentral:rRNA from 1 species
GAUUAAGUUAUUAAGGGCGCACGGUGGAUGCCUUGGCACUAGAAGCCGAUGAAGGACGUUACUAACGACGAUAUGCUUUGGGGAGCUGUAAGUAAGCUUUGAUCCAGAGAUUUCCGAAUGGGGAAACCCAGCAUGAGUUAUGUCAUGUUAUCGAUAUGUGAAUACAUAGCAUAUCAGAAGGCACACCCGGAGAACUGAAACAUCUUAGUACCCGGAGGAAGAGAAAGAAAAUUCGAUUCCCUUAGUAGCGGCGAGCGAAACGGGAAGAGCCCAAACCAACAAGCUUGCUUGUUGGGGUUGUAGGACACUCUAUACGGAGUUACAAAGGACGACAUUAGACGAAUCAUCUGGAAAGAUGAAUCAAAGAAGGUAAUAAUCCUGUAGUCGAAAAUGUUGUCUCUCUUGAGUGGAUCCUGAGUACGACGGAGCACGUGAAAUUCCGUCGGAAUCUGGGAGGACCAUCUCCUAAGGCUAAAUACUCUCUAGUGACCGAUAGUGAACCAGUACCGUGAGGGAAAGGUGAAAAGCACCCCGGAAGGGGAGUGAAAUAGAACCUGAAACCGUGUGCUUACAAGUAGUCAGAGCCCGUUAAUGGGUGAUGGCGUGCCUUUUGUAGAAUGAACCGGCGAGUUACGAUUUGAUGCAAGGUUAAGCAGUAAAUGUGGAGCCGUAGCGAAAGCGAGUCUGAAUAGGGCGUUUAGUAUUUGGUCGUAGACCCGAAACCAGGUGAUCUACCCUUGGUCAGGUUGAAGUUCAGGUAACACUGAAUGGAGGACCGAACCGACUUACGUUGAAAAGUGAGCGGAUGAACUGAGGGUAGCGGAGAAAUUCCAAUCGAACCUGGAGAUAGCUGGUUCUCUCCGAAAUAGCUUUAGGGCUAGCCUCAAGUGAUGAUUAUUGGAGGUAGAGCACUGUUUGGACGAGGGGCCCCUCUCGGGUUACCGAAUUCAGACAAACUCCGAAUGCCAAUUAAUUUAACUUGGGAGUCAGAACAUGGGUGAUAAGGUCCGUGUUCGAAAGGGAAACAGCCCAGACCACCAGCUAAGGUCCCAAAAUAUAUGUUAAGUGGAAAAGGAUGUGGCGUUGCCCAGACAACUAGGAUGUUGGCUUAGAAGCAGCCAUCAUUUAAAGAGUGCGUAAUAGCUCACUAGUCGAGUGACACUGCGCCGAAAAUGUACCGGGGCUAAACAUAUUACCGAAGCUGUGGAUUGUCCUUUGGACAAUGGUAGGAGAGCGUUCUAAGGGCGUUGAAGCAUGAUCGUAAGGACAUGUGGAGCGCUUAGAAGUGAGAAUGCCGGUGUGAGUAGCGAAAGACGGGUGAGAAUCCCGUCCACCGAUUGACUAAGGUUUCCAGAGGAAGGCUCGUCCGCUCUGGGUUAGUCGGGUCCUAAGCUGAGGCCGACAGGCGUAGGCGAUGGAUAACAGGUUGAUAUUCCUGUACCACCUAUAAUCGUUUUAAUCGAUGGGGGGACGCAGUAGGAUAGGCGAAGCGUGCGAUUGGAUUGCACGUCUAAGCAGUAAGGCUGAGUAUUAGGCAAAUCCGGUACUCGUUAAGGCUGAGCUGUGAUGGGGAGAAGACAUUGUGUCUUCGAGUCGUUGAUUUCACACUGCCGAGAAAAGCCUCUAGAUAGAAAAUAGGUGCCCGUACCGCAAACCGACACAGGUAGUCAAGAUGAGAAUUCUAAGGUGAGCGAGCGAACUCUCGUUAAGGAACUCGGCAAAAUGACCCCGUAACUUCGGGAGAAGGGGUGCUCUUUAGGGUUAACGCCCAGAAGAGCCGCAGUGAAUAGGCCCAAGCGACUGUUUAUCAAAAACACAGGUCUCUGCUAAACCGUAAGGUGAUGUAUAGGGGCUGACGCCUGCCCGGUGCUGGAAGGUUAAGAGGAGUGGUUAGCUUCUGCGAAGCUACGAAUCGAAGCCCCAGUAAACGGCGGCCGUAACUAUAACGGUCCUAAGGUAGCGAAAUUCCUUGUCGGGUAAGUUCCGACCCGCACGAAAGGCGUAACGAUUUGGGCACUGUCUCAACGAGAGACUCGGUGAAAUCAUAGUACCUGUGAAGAUGCAGGUUACCCGCGACAGGACGGAAAGACCCCGUGGAGCUUUACUGUAGCCUGAUAUUGAAAUUCGGCAUAGCUUGUACAGGAUAGGUAGGAGCCUUUGAAACGUGAGCGCUAGCUUACGUGGAGGCGCUGGUGGGAUACUACCCUAGCUGUGUUGGCUUUCUAACCCGCACCACUUAUCGUGGUGGGAGACAGUGUCAGGCGGGCAGUUUGACUGGGGCGGUCGCCUCCUAAAAGGUAACGGAGGCGCUCAAAGGUUCCCUCAGAAUGGUUGGAAAUCAUUCAUAGAGUGUAAAGGCAUAAGGGAGCUUGACUGCGAGACCUACAAGUCGAGCAGGGUCGAAAGACGGACUUAGUGAUCCGGUGGUUCCGCAUGGAAGGGCCAUCGCUCAACGGAUAAAAGCUACCCCGGGGAUAACAGGCUUAUCUCCCCCAAGAGUUCACAUCGACGGGGAGGUUUGGCACCUCGAUGUCGGCUCAUCGCAUCCUGGGGCUGUAGUCGGUCCCAAGGGUUGGGCUGUUCGCCCAUUAAAGCGGUACGCGAGCUGGGUUCAGAACGUCGUGAGACAGUUCGGUCCCUAUCCGUCGUGGGCGUAGGAAAUUUGAGAGGAGCUGUCCUUAGUACGAGAGGACCGGGAUGGACAUACCUCUGGUGUACCAGUUGUCGUGCCAACGGCAUAGCUGGGUAGCUAUGUGUGGACGGGAUAAGUGCUGAAAGCAUCUAAGCAUGAAGCCCCCCUCAAGAUGAGAUUUCCCAACUUCGGUUAUAAGAUCCCUCAAAGAUGAUGAGGUUAAUAGGUUCGAGGUGGAAGCAUGGUGACAUGUGGAGCUGACGAAUACUAAUCGAUCGAAGACUUAAUCAA